UCUUGUCGAGUCUCUGUCAAUGCUGCAGAUCCUGGGGCAGUGCAAACCAAUAUCAUGAGAGAAAUUCCUUCUUGUCUUUCACAUGUGACAUUUGUACUAUUGAAACUUCUCGGCCUUUUGCAGUCACCUAAUAAUGGGGUUAGCUCUAUUCUUGAUGCUGCCCUUGCACCACCAGAAACAUCUGGGGUAUACUUUUUUGGUGGAAAGGGCAGGACUCUGAACUCUUCUGCACUUUCACAUGAUAUCAGGCUUGCGGAGAAACUUUGGACCACAUCAUGCAAUCUCUUUGAAGAGAUGAAACUUGCUUCCGAGGACAAAGAGGACAGUUUUCAUGAACGACUGGAAGAAGAUAGAGUUUGCUUGCACGAUGAGUAGGUAGAUGCAUGCUUGCAG
rnacentral:misc_RNA from 1 species